UACAGAGGUCUCAAGCGUUGUUCGGAUUCAUUGGGCGUAAAGGGUGCGUAGGUGGCGCCGUAAGUGGGGUGUGAAAUUUCGGAGCUUAACUCCGAAACUGCAUUCCAUACUGCGGUGCUUGAGGACUGGAGAGGAGACUGGAAUUUACGGUGUAGCGGUGAAAUGCGUAGAUAUCGUAAGGAAGACCAGUGGCGAAGGCAGGUCUCUGGGCCAUAACUGACGCUGAGAAGCGAAAGCAUGGGGAGCGAACAGG
rnacentral:rRNA from 1 species